rnacentral:rRNA from 1 species
GACGAACGCUGGCGGCGUGCUUAACACAUGCAAGUCGAACGGAAAGGCCCUGCUUUUGCGGGGUGCUCGAGUGGCGAACGGGUGAGUAACACGUGAGUAACCUGCCCCUGACUUUGGGAUAACUUCAGGAAACUGGGGCUAAUACCGGAUAGGAGCUCCUGCUGCAUGGUGGGGGUUGGAAAGAUUCGGCGGUUGGGGAUGGACUCGCGGCUUAUCAGCUUGUUGGUGGGGUAGUGGCUUACCAAGGCUUUGACGGGUAGCCGGCCUGAGAGGGUGACCGGCCACAUUGGGACUGAGAUACGGCCCAGACUCCUACGGGAGGCAGCAGUGGGGAAUAUUGCACAAUGGGCGGAAGCCUGAUGCAGCAACGCCGCGUGCGGGAUGACGGCCUUCGGGUUGUAAACCGCUUUCGCCUGUGACGAAGCGUGAGUGACGGUAAUGGGUAAAGAAGCACCGGCUAACUACGUG